GAUGAACGCUGGCGGCGUGCCUAAUACAUGCAAGUCGAGCGAACGGACGAGAAGCUUGCUUCUCUGAUGUUAGCGGCGGACGGGUUAGUAACACGUGGAUAACCUACCUAUAAGACUGGGAUAACUUCGGGAAACCGGAGCUAAUACCGUAUAAUAUUUUGAACCGCAUGGUUCAAAAGUGAAAGACGGUCUUGCUGUCACUUAUAGAUGGAUCCGCGCUGCAUUAGCUAGUUGGUAAGGUAACGGCUUACCAAGGCAACGAUGCAUAGCCGACCUGAGAGGGUGAUCGGCCACACUGGAACUGAGACACGGUCCAGAAUCCUACGGGAGGCAGCAGGAGGGAAUCUUCCGAAAUGGGCGAAAGCCUGACGAAGAAACGCAGCGUGAGUGAUGAAGGUCUUCGGAUCGUAAAACUCUGUUAUUAGGGAAGAACAUAUGUGUAAGUAACUGUGCACAUCUUGACGGUACCUAAUCAGAAAGCCACGGCUAACUACGUG
rnacentral:rRNA from 1 species